UACGGGGGGAGCAAGCGUUGUUCGGAUUUACUGGGCGUAAAGGGCGCGUAGGCGGUCGUGACAAGUCACUUGUGAAAUCUCCGGGCUUAACUCGGAACGGUCAAGUGAUACUGUCGGACUAGAGUACAGAAGGGGCAACUGGAAUUCUCGGUGUAGCGGUGAAAUGCGUAGAUAUCAGGAGGAACACCGGUGGCGAAGGCGGGUCUCUGGGCCGAUACUGACGCUGAGGAGCGAAAGCGUGGGGAGCAAACAGG
rnacentral:rRNA from 1 species